rnacentral:rRNA from 1 species
UACGUAGGGGGCUAGCGUUGUCCGGAAUCAUUGGGCGUAAAGCGCGCGUAGGCGGCCAGAUAAGUCCGGUGUGAAAGUCACAGGCUCAACCUGUGAAUGCCGCUGGAAACUGUCUGGCUAGAGUCCGGAAGGGGCGAGUGGAAUUCCUGGUGUAGCGGUGAAAUGCGCAGAUAUCAGGAGGAACACCAAUGGCGAAGGCGGCUCACUGGGCUGGCCUUGACGCUGAGGCGGGGAGGCGUGGGGAGCGAACGGG